AGCGGGAUGGAGCAGAUGGUAGCUCGUCGGGCUCAUAACCCGAAGGUCGUCGGUUCAAAUCCGACUCCCGCAA
rnacentral:tRNA from 1 species